UAGCAGCAUGUUCUCUCCCUCUCUCCCCUCUCUACCUCUGACACACUCACUCCCGCUCACCGUUACUCUUCCUCAGUCAAAGACGGGAUUGUCAGAAAGCAGCCGUAGCUAACUGUAAUCCCCUUUUACCAUCAGUACUCUGAGGCUUUGUUUCUCGUGUUAAUUUUUUUUCUUCUUGAAAUUGGAUUCUGUUGCUGCCGAUGUCACAGCUGACAAUCAAGUGUUUGGAUGCUCUAGAGGUGCGGAGGAAUUGAAGAGAACUUUGAAUGAAUGGAUUUUUGACUGACUAAUCAAACAAUGGAGUGGCAUUGGUUGUGAUAUAUGACUCAUUUAGGUUAUUUCUCCACCUGAAGACUGCUGCAAUCCUUUUUUUCCACCUGCAUAUUUCUUCUCUGAGUUGCUUGACUGGAAAUGUGCUAACUUUUUUUAUGGAGAUUUUUGCUUUGAAUGCAUGUUGAGAGGACCAAAGUUAAAUAAAGCAGGGCAGAUGGAACCUCAGUUGACUGAGUCUUGAAUCUUUUGUCCAAGAAGUAACCCAGGCAUGACAACAGUGUCCAUGGAGCCCGUUGGAGUUUUGGUGGACAGGAGCACCAAUGCAACCGUCCCACCUCUGAGCUCACAUCAGGAUGCAGCUGCUACCUUUACCAUAGGAACCAUCCUCUCCAUCAUGUGCCUCGUUGGAGUCUCAGGGAACAUCUACACCCUGGUAGUCAUGUGCCACUCCAUGAGGACUGCAGCCUCGAUGUACAUCUACAUAAUUAAUCUCGCACUGGCUGAUCUACUUUAUCUUCUCACUAUCCCGUUUGUGGUUUGCACGUACUUCUUAAAGGGGUGGUACUUUGGAGAUACAGGAUGUCGAAUACUUUUCAGCAUUGACUUUCUGACGAUGCACGCCAGCAUCUUCACACUGACCAUCAUGAGCACAGAGCGUUACUUUGCAGUUCUCAAGCCGCUUGACACAGUCAAGCGAUCAAAAAGUUAUCGGAAGGCUAUUGCGCUGCUGGUCUGGGCAGCCUCUCUAAUUCUUACCUUACCAAUGAUUGUGAGCAUCCAACUAAUGACAAUGGGCACCAAGGCUAUGUGUCAGCCAACUUUAUCACCACUGUCCUACAAGAUUUACAUCUCAUUCCUGUUUUGCACAAGCAUUGUUGCUCCAGGACUGAUCAUUGGCUAUCUGUACAUCCAGCUAGCACGCACCUACUGGAUUUCACAAACGGAAAGCUUCAAGCAGACCAAGAAACUACCUAACCAAAAGGUGCUGUACCUGAUUUUCACCAUUGUGCUCCUCUUCUGGGCAUGCUUCCUGCCUUUUUGGAUCUGGCACCUGCUUGGACAGUUCUACCCCUCAUUGCCUCUCUCCACCAAAGCUAAACGCAACAUUAACUACCUGACAACAUGCCUCACUUACUCCAACAGCUGUAUAAACCCUUUUCUCUACACACUUCUCACUAAAAACUACAAAGAGUACCUGAGGAAGCACAAAAGGUCCUGGUCAGCUGGCAGCUACUUCAAUCGGCGAAAUCGUUUUCAACGGUCGCCACGCAGAUCGCCAUCUGCCAGCAGUCAGCAGUGUACGGAGAGCUUCAUGCUAACACACACAGCUUCUCUACGAGCUCAUAAUACCAGCUUGUAAGGUGGGCGUGUCUGGAAGUGGGGAAGCUGCAGGUCAUCUGCUCAUCAGCCGGCCAGGGAUACUUAAGCACCUGAGAGACGCCUUCACUUCGCUGGAUGAUUAACUCGAUUUAUCACCAAACAGCCAAUUCAGAGAACUAGCUUUUGAGCUUUUCCGCCUUUUUGAGUAUUUUGAUACGAGCUAUAGAUUUUGUAUGUUUGACCUCCUGUUCACCAUCUCUGCAGAAAUCACUCCACUUCCCCCUCAGACAGACAGCAACCUGGAACUCCUCGUCACCCCACUCAUCUCUCGGUACGUUCCUGGUCUCCCUACUCCCGACAGCCCACCUAAACCCACCCAGAUCUACACCAACCUCCAUGCUCAGCUCCCUCCACCUAAAACGCUCAGGAACCCUGCCGCAAGUAACACCAAGCCGAGGAGGAGAAAGGACGAAGAGGAGACGUAGGAAAGACAAGAAUCAUCUAGAGACACAACUGAAAGAAGAUCACGACUACUUGCGUCAGCAAUAGCAACAGAAGUCCCUUUAUCUUUUUCAGAGUGCACGGCAACAGGAACCGCAGAAGCGGUUUUAGACUGUAUGAAACAGACAUUUCCCCAUCCUUUAGGACUUCUGAUGGCAUGAAAUCAAACUUCAGCAUCUGACGUCUUUAUCCUUCACAUUCAUCCCCUUUCACCCUGUGUAGCAGUAGGUCAACAAGCAUGCAGUUUACUGAAACAGUUUCUAGGAAUGAUACCAAUGAAGUACAAGAGAAAAAAAUAGACAUUAGCUUUUGCACAAGAACGCCUCUCACUCAGUUUCACUAUUAAUACUUUAAGAAAAAUAUUUUUCUCCAAAGAUUAUUUAUGUUGGAGUCAGCUGCAACAGAAAGAUCUCACAUUGAAACAAGCAGUGAAAUAUUUAUUUUAACUCAACAAAUGAAGGGAUACAUUCUUUGCUCAUAUCUGGGAAAGCUUGUUUGUUUGUUAUAUAAGCAGCAGAACCCUCUGAAACGUUACCAAAGCCAGGAUGUAUUCUCCAGUUCCUGUCAGAGAGCUCAUCGUUUGCUUCCAGGGAGCCAAACUUCCUUUAAUCAGAUGAAGCAGGACUGAGCAGUAGUUUUUAAAAGUCAAUUUGAAAUUUGGAGUUGCGUGUAUCCAAAAAUCAAAACAAGGUGAAAACCUUAUCAGAUGGGCUGAGACCAGCAUUUGUAGGCUCCACAUAAUAGAGUUGUUGAUGAACCUUCACACAGAUGUUAGCUGUAUUAACAGACUAUGUAAGGUGCAGGCCCAACUACUGACCAGAACCAAGGUUCCUCUGAUUGUGGAGAUGUCAGUGGGUGAUGAUCCACCACCUUCGCUACUCUUCCACAGUGAUGCCUACUGUAGGUUGGUUUGCCAUCAUGUAGAUGUCGAGGCAAAAACAAACAAAUUAAUUAAAAUAUAAUAAUAAUAAUAAUUAAAGCCUGUCAAAGUCCAAAGAAAUAAGAACACCCUUCAGGUAGUUGAAAUUACUUUUGAUAAAGACCAAUAAAACAGUUCGUUUUGAAGACAACUACAAAAAAUUAGGGAUGAAACAAAAUUUUUGCACAGCACCUUUCCUGCAGCAGAAAGACAGCAAUGUGUUAAUCUGACAGAAACUGGUCUAAACUGGUCUUUUAAUGACUCCAAUCCAAAAAAAAAAAACAAAGAUUAUUUAUUCCUGGAUUGUCGAGCUAACAACCAGUUAGCUCAGUGUGGGUUUAAGCCACAAUGAAACUACUUUAACCUAUACACAAUUUUAUUUAUUAUUAUUAUUAUUAUUAUUAUUAUUAUUAUUAUUAUUAUUAUUAUUAUUAUUUAUUAUUAUUUUAUAAACCUUUAAAGCCUUCCAUGAAUAAGCAUGACAGUUAUUACAGAUAUGUUGCAGCAAAUAUUAGCAGUGAAACUAGCCAACUGUAGCACGUCCCCAGCAAGUAAAAUGUCAAGUAGACUUUUAAAAAUGUUGAGUUGUUUUCUAACGCCCACUUUGAAACCAAGGCUAGCGGUUAGCUCCUCAAUCAGAUAACCUGAUGUCAUUGUUACUUCUCUAAACUGAGGUUGUUCAAAAAGCCUCCAACAGGCCGGAGAUGAUGUGUUCCAAGUUGAUGAAACUUAAAGAUCUGAACUAUCCCUCUGAGCUGUUUGGGAACAAAAUUUCUAAUUUUAGGAAAAUCAGAAUAAAGUUGAAAAUAGAAAGAAAUCUAUUGCUUGUUUUUGUCUGAACAAAAACAUCAAAAACCUGCUUUAAUACAAAUGAUAAUAAUAAAUAAAAUUCUUCCCCAGUACCAGCGGGUUGUUACUGAUGUAGCUGUGAUACCUCUGCAUGUCUGUGCUGCUGUUAGCGCUACAGUGAUGGGUUUUUAAUUUCAGCAAUAUCUGUUAAGAGAAAGCUCCUUCUGUGCGACUUCUCUCAGGUUAGCUCCACGACUUUUGAUGCCUUUCAUGCCAGGACUGUUUGAUCAUCACAGCAACAAUUUUGAUAAUAAAAGGAGGAUAAGAUCGCUGUAGCUAAAAGCUGAGACACCUUUAUUGAUUUUAUUCCCAGUGCAACAAGACAAGCUGCAGUCACUAAGCUGACAUAUCUUCUGAAGCUAUCUUGUUCACAGAUUUUGGGUUUGUUUUGUACGCAGGAGCUUCAAAGUGAAAUAAAUCUACACACACAUCACAAAGGGGAUCUGAAGUCGGCUUUUGUAGUUGAAUGAUGAACAGAUGAAAGUAAGAAACCAGCGCUUGCAAUGCCUCGUUGUAGUGUGACGGGGUCAGAUUCUGCACCUUAAGACCGAAUCCUGUGCUUGGUCAAGGUUGGGUCACCGAGGUAACAGGUUCUGCACAAAAACCCAGACAUUCGUGAUAACUGGGUUGCUGCUGUUUUUGAAGUUGUCAAGAGCACUUGGCAAGCUGCCUAACUCCGACGACGGGACGUGUUGUGAACGCUCAGACUCAUGCAUUGCACAAACUAAACUGUGAGCUAGAUGCUCUGAGCUGCAAACAGGCUGCUAAACUCAUCAACGGAGGGAGGAACCACUUGGAGUAGUUCUUAGCUCGGCUUGGUGGAAACUGACCCAGUUUCAGUUGAUUGGAGUCCCCCUUGAGACCGCGGAGAGACAUAAGGCAGAGCCACUAGCUCUAGCCUGUACCAAAACAAAUUGUUAAAUCUGGCUCCCCCACGUUGGCCUGAAGGCUGAAGAUCUCUAAACUCCCAUAGAUGUUUAUGCAGACUGAUGCUCUGCCCCUCCCUCCCCUGUUCCUCUCAUGGGCUUGUGAGCUCCUUGGAUCAGCUCGCCGACAGGUCGUAUCACGACAUCUUAGACGACAGACACUGACUAAACAGGGAGCGUGUUCACGGACUCACCUACAUACUGAUGCACACACAUACUCAAAUAAUUGAGAACCAUUGUUCUAGUGGAAGCUGUCUAGGAAACCUUCAAGGAAUGGCCACCAAGCAGCUGAAUCCAAUGCCGCCACCAACUCAACGACCUUCAUUUGAAGAGGAAGAGCAGAGAUGAUGAAGCUCCUCACCUCUGGAUUACGGAGUCUGGCCAACCUUCAGAGAAUGCACAUUUCAGCCACCUGGUCUUCCAGUCACACACACACACACACACACACACACACACACACACACACACACACACACACACACACAUCCUCUUCACAUCCAAAAAAUUGAUGUAUGGCUGGAUUAUGAAUUAAAGCAUUUAUUUGCCCCAGAUGGAUCUGUUCGUAACUCUAGAGCUCUGACGGGUUGUUUUUUUUCCUGCUAUUUAUUAAAGAAUGAGUUUUGGAAGACAGUGUUGAUUUUUUCGCUUUACCUAUCAAAAUGUGUAAACUCCAGGAAGUCGAGAGAACAUUUUGUUGUCUGCAUCACAUUCAAAAAUAAAAUGUGCCGUUUUCCCAAGUUGUGCAUUAUUAUUAAUGCAUGCCCUGCACUUUUCUUUUGUUAUUACUAACAAGCAUAUUCAAUCAGAAGCCCAUUGUCUGUCUUCACUGCAGACUCUAAUUAAGAAAACGGGUGCUGAACUUCAGUGUUCUGUGGCACCAAGUCUGCAAAACUCACCACCAUAAGCAUAUAUGUUUGUCCUGACUCCGCUUCUGCUAGAGCAUCAUCAGUCUGCCUUAAAUAAGGAAUGAUGAAUGAAUAAUGGAUUAUGUUACUGCUCAGCCUGUGAAAAGAACCUUCCAGAAAAGAGAAAUAAUAGUUUUUCUGUUAUCUCUGGUUAGUGUUGGAUAAUUCAAAGUCUGCAUGGGAUUUCUGAUGAGUCAGUAUGUUUGUAUGUUGGAAUUUGUUACAAAGCCAAAGAAAUUCAGACAUUAACAUUUAAGGAACCAGGUCCUUAUUUAUAACUUGCUUACACCAAAAAAAAAACGGAUCUAAAACUCAUGUAAGUCACUUAGGCAGACUCUGUGGUAGGUUCUUGUCCUGGCUUUCGGCUGGAGCUAGGCAGAAGUUAUGGUUCCUGUUUAUUUUAAAAACGUGUUCAUUUAAAAUUUUCAUCUUAUUUAACUACUUUGACAAUACUGUUCUGGUCUCACUUCAACGUUCCCAGAACUCAGAUUUCAUUUGUGAUUCCUCGUUUUCAAAAGGAGUCAGGGGAGCUGGCUUUUUCCAUCAAAGCUCCAUUCUACUUGCAACUAUUUACCUGCUGAUUUAAGGUCUAUUACAUCUUAUCUUCAGUUUAGAACAUUGGUUUACCUUCAUUUCUAUACAUGUCUCUGCAUGUCGGUCAGGCCACACUCCACUGAAGCCUCAGCAGUGGUGUGCCUAGCCAAUCAAAGCACUCUAUCGGUUUGGAGGGUGGGAUGAUGCGAUAAGAGUGAAAAAAAAAUGGCGUUGGCUCGUUUGAAACAGAUUUGGCGUCAACGUUGGACUAUUUAGACUUGGGCUUUUCUUUGACUCUAGAGCAGCUGAAGGUACUUAAGACCUGUCAUGUUCUGAGGUAUGUGCUUAACCCAAGACAUGCAGAAUCAGAGACCGGAGACAAGUUGGAUAGUAAAAGGUAAAAUGAUAUUUAUUAAACGGGAAAACUAAGGGCGCACUGAAGUCCAGCGGGUUGCAGAAUCCGGAACCGGCGUCUACAGGAAAACAGAGGUGAGUCUGGUGUUUAUAGUUCCGGGAGUCUUUGAUUUGUAGUCUGACUUACUGUGCGGAAGUGAAGUUGUUGUUAGGAGGGGAGUGAGCCGUGGUGAUAUCCAAGAUGAGGAAGCGGUCCAAGAUUAAGGUGAGUAGGAGAAUGAGCGAGGAUAUUGAUCCGGAGAGGGAGCGUGAGCAAGGUGGAGAGCGGGUCGGCAGGUGGAGGAGAUACAGGAACGAACCAGAGAUUUCCUUCCAGGGGCAGAGCACGUAAUCCAGGAAUAGGAACCUGAGGUAGGUAUCAAACAUUAAUGAGCGAAUAUUCCAAAAAUUCAAAGUUCAAAUAUAAAGGAGCAAACAGAGGGGAAAAACUCGGAGGCAAGCGACUACCAGUAAACGGCAAUCAUCCGGCGUCGUAAUCUGGUCCUCCUCCUCCUUAUAUAGCCGGCCCGCUGACGAGAAACAGCUGUAGCUCCCUCUCCUGUAAUCAGAGCUCAAAGGUGGUGAAUGAUGUGACGAGUACUCACCCCGGCUCAUGGCAAGACCUUUAUUUAGAAAAAUGACGUAUUUGCAUUUUCUUCUGCGGAGACAACUUGAAAAAGAACUGUAGAUUCCACCUCAUGACUGGGAUUUGUUCGUGAGUCUUGGCCAGACUUUAUAUUCUAGUGUUGCCAACCCGGGGCGAUUCUAGCUUCAGACGUUUAGGGGUGCUGGGCAUCCAGCAAAUUGCCCGUCCAGGCAAGAUUAGUUUCACAGUUUGUGCAUUUGAACGCAAAUUUCAUUCCCAAAUUUGCUAAUUAGAAGCUAAGCAGUGUUUUCCACAAAUCCAGAACAUUUUCACAAAUCACAAACAAUGCUUUACGGAUUGUGUUUUACAAUAAUCUAGUCCAGGUUCAUAGGCUCUUGGUCAGUGAUCCCCAACUCCCUUCCCCGACGGCAGGUAUCCAGCAUGAUUUGCUGUUUUUCCUGCUUCAACACACUUGAUUUUAAUCAGCAGGUGAAUAGCAAGCCUCUGCAGAGCCCGAUGAGCUGCUGAACAGGUGAAUCAAUUGUGUUGGAUAAAAGAAUCCAAUCCAAUACAGUUUUAUUUAUAAAGCACUUUAAAAGACCCAGCACAGGAACAAAGUGUUGUACAGAAAAUCCAUUAAAACAAUUGACUAAACAGAAAACAGCAAAGAUAAAUAAAACACAUGAUACAUAAAAUUAAAAUAGCCCUAUAUUAAAAAAUAAAAACUUGAUAAAACCGCAUUGAAUCACCUAAAACAGCUAAAAUAAAAUAAAAACUAGAAACCAACAUCUCACAAGGUAUCAAAAGCCAGGGUAAAGAGGUGGGUUUUCAGGAGUGCCUUAAAAACAGAUAAGGAACUGGUCUGUCUUAUCUCUAAAGGAAGUUCGUUCCACAGUUUUGGAGCUGCAACAGCAAAAGCGCGAUCUCCUCUAAAUUUACGCUCAGUCCUGGGUACAAUCAGGAGCAAGUAUAAAACUUGCUGGAUAUUAGCCCUCUGGGAAGGGAGCUGGGGAUACUAGUGUUGUAGUUUUUAAGCUAGACCAGUUCCUUUGUAGCCCAGAUGCAAGACAAACAGACCUAAAUAAUGGUCUCCUUGAGAUAAAAUCAUUCUUCUCAUCAAACUUCCUGAAACUUCUUGAAACUCAACAGCAAUAAAACUGAAAAUCCACGCGUAGGGAAACCCUCCACUCUGAACAAAUCUCCCAGCAUAUCCGUUAACAGACAAUUCCUCCAUCCUUCCUUCCCCCCAUGUAAAAAGUCUUGUUGUCAUUCUUGGCAGCACUCUAAAGCCCACAUCAACAUCAUCAUUCGCUCAGCCUACUUUCAUUUAUGCAACAUCAACCUACUCCGCCCCUCUCUCACUCCUCGUGCAACAGCCAUCCUCGUACACAGCCUAGUCACUUCUAGGAGUGACUACUGAAACUCUCUCCUUUUUGGCCUCCCCCAUAAAUCCCUUCAUCGGCUCCAACUCCUCCAAAAUGCUGCUGCACACAUCAACCCUGUUCUUCAGCGUCUCCACUGGCUGCUGACCACAGAAUCUCCUUCAAAAUCCUGCUUCUCACCUACAAAUCCACUGUCUCGCCCCUCCUUACCUCUCCACUCUCAUCCAUGUUGCUGUCCCAUCUCGCUCCCUCAGGUCUUCCUCUGCCAUUCACCUUGUGGUUCCUCCUGUUCGUCUCACCACUGUUGGAAACAGCUUUCUGUCGAGCUCCUCGGCUCUGGAACUCACUUCCUCCUGACAUCCGAAACACAGACUCCCUCCUUUCAUUCAAAUUUAAACUCAAAACUCACCUGUUCAAGCUGGCUUACACUGUCUAGUCCACAAACUCUCCACCCUGCAAUUUAUAGUAUAUUCUU